CAACCUAGAAGUACUGCUGUCACA
rnacentral:piRNA from 1 species